AGGAUAAGAAAGUAAUUUCGUUCUUCUUUUCCUUUUUUUUUUCAACAGCUCGGAUCCAGUUUUCUCUCUGCUUCAGUUGGUUUUCUUCAAUUUUAGAUUUUCGAUCUUAAAUCCCCAGGCUAUUACUAAACCAGUUACAGAUGAAUGUGCUUUCAUUGAAGAAAAUGCGGGAUUCAUUUUCGGCAAUCUUACUUCCCUGAAUUUGUUGACGUGGAUGAGAAUCAAAUAGAGCAAUGGAACCAUAGAACCCCUCC